rnacentral:rRNA from 1 species
CACGGGUGAGUAACACGUAUCCAACCUGCCGAUAACUCCGGGAUAGCCUUUCGAAAGAAAGAUUAAUACCGGAUGGCAUACGAAUAUCGCAUGAUAUUUUUAUUAAAGAAUUUCGGUUAUCGAUGGGGAUGCGUUCCAUUAGUUUGUUGGCGGGGUAACGGCCCACCAAGACUACGAUGGAUAGGGGUUCUGAGAGGAAGGUCCCCCACAUUGGAACUGAGACACGGUCCAAACUCCUACGGGAGGCAGCAGUGAGGAAUAUUGGUCAAUGGGCGAGAGCCUGAACCAGCCAAGUAGCGUGAAGGAUGAAGGCUCUAUGGGUCGUAAACUUCUUUUAUAUGGGAAUAAAGUUUUCCACGUGUGGAAUUUUGUAUGUACCAUAUGAAUAAGGAUCGGCUAACUCCGUGCCAGCAGCCGCGGUAAUACGGAGGAUCCGAGCGUUAUCCGGAUUUAUUGGGUUUAAAGGGAGCGUAGGUGGAUUGUUAAGUCAGUUGUGAAAGUUUGCGGCUCAACCGUAAAAUUGCAGUUGAAACUGGCAGUCUUGAGUACAGUAGAGGUGGGCGGAAUUCGUGGUGUAGCGGUGAAAUGCUUAGAUAUCACGAAGAACUCCGAUUGCGAAGGCAGCUCACUAGACUGUUACUGACACUGAUGCUCGAAAGUGUGGGUAUCAAACAGGAUUAGAUACCCUGGUAGUCCACACAGUAAACGAUGAAUACUCGCUGUUUGCGAUAUACAGUAAGCGGCCAAGCGAAAGCAUUAAGUAUUCCACCUGGGGAGUACGCCGGCAACGGUGAAACUCAAAGGAAUUGACGGGGGCCCGCACAAGCGGAGGAACAUGUGGUUUAAUUCGAUGAUACGCGAGGAACCUUACCCGGGCUUAAAUUGCAACAGAAUAUAUUGGAAACAGUAUAGCCGUAAGGCUGUUGUGAAGGUGCUGCAUGGUUGUCGUCAGCUCGUGCCGUGAGGUGUCGGCUUAAGUGCCAUAACGAGCGCAACCCUUAUCUUUAGUUACUAACAGGUUAUGCUGAGGACUCUAGAGAGACUGCCGUCGUAAGAUGUGAGGAAGGUGGGGAUGACGUCAAAUCAGCACGGCCCUUACGUCCGGGGCUACACACGUGUUACAAUGGGGGGUACAGAAGGCGGCUACCUGGUGACAGGAUG